AACAAACUAUUGUUUAUAAAUUAAGUUAAGUUGUACUUUUGUAAACGUUUACAGUCAACUUUUGACUUAGAACAAUCUUGUGUUCACUGAAAUUAGCUUAUCUUGAGUUGAUUAUAUUCAUUAACAUGCCCACAAUUGCAAAUCUUAGUGUUAACUCCACCAUUGACGGUCCUCAGUCCGUAUAAAAAGGGAGGAAGGGCGCUUAAGACGUUUUUCUUUUUUAGUUGAAGUAUUAAGAAUUAAUCGUGUUUCUCUUGGUUUUAAAAUAUUAUAUUAUAAUCUAUAUUGUGUUUUUUUAUUUUGUAUGAUAUACCAUACUAUUGUCCAACUGUGAAGAAGUAGGUAGGUAGCCAAUUUUAAUAGUGCAGAUCUUCGAAGACCAGAAUGUGUAGAUGUGAAUUGGAAAGUGGCAACAUAUACCUAAUUCAGACUUCAGAGAUUCAGUUAGACAUGAUUUAUGGAAAUUGGAUUCAUUAAUUUUUGGACAUUCAAAAAUAUACCAUACUACUAUAGUACUAUUGUCUGAUUGUGAAGAAGCAGGUAGCCAAUUUUAAUAGUGCAGAUCUUCGAAGACCAGAAUGUGUAGAUGUGAAUUGGAAAGUGGCAACAUAUACCUAAUUCAGACUUCAGAGAUUUAGUUAGACAUGAUUUAUAGAAAUUGGAUUCAUUAAUUUUUGGACAUUCAAAACUAUACCAUACUACUAAAGUAUUAUUGUCUGAUUGUGAAGAAGCAGGUAGUCAAUUUUUAUAGUGCAGAUCUUCGAAGACCAGGAUGUGUAGAUGUGAAUUGGAAAGUGGCAACAUAUACCUAGUUCAGACUUCAGAGAUUUAGUUAGACAUGAUUUAUGGAAAUUGGAUUCAUUAAUUUUUGGACAUUCUAAACUAUACCAUACUACUAUAGUACUAUUGUCUGAUUGUGAAGAAGCAGGUAGUCAAUUUUAAUAGUGCAGAUCUUCGAAGACCAGGAUGUGUAUAUGUGAAUUGGAAAGUGGCAACAUAUACCUAGUUCAGACUUCAGAAAUUUAGUUAGACAUGAGUUAUGGAAAUUGGAUUCAUUAAUUUUUGGCCAUUCAAAGUAGCUUUAGAAACCCUAAUAAAUGUAUUUUCUAUCUAAUAAUUGUAUUAAAUAUAAUUAAAUAAGAUUUUAUAUUUAACUUAUGAUUAAUACAGCAAAUAACUAAAUUACUAAUUGGUAUAAUUUGAAUAUUACAAUUCAAAAUUGUUCAAAGAGCUUUGCAUGUCAAUUUUUCUAAAACAAAUAAUAUAUUAAUAUUAAUAAUAAUAAUAAACCUUAUAGACCUAACGGAAAAUAUUUCCAAUUUAAUUUUAAAUAUACAGUAUGGUACAGACAUACAGUGUAAAAUUUACAUAAUUAUAAUAUUUAAUAUACAGAUUUACAAUAAAUAGUUUAAAUUUAAAUAUAAUAAUAAUAAUAAUAAUGACACAGUUUAACACUUAAACCAUAAUAGCCUAUAUCAAUGGUGUUCCACAGAUUCUGAAAUUUUUUAAAAUUGUGUUCAUUACUUUUAUAAUGUUUAGUGACUAAUAUGUAUGUAAACUGUUUUGUGCUAAGUAUGCAUUGUUUAAUACAUUAUAAAAUUUAAAAACUUAUAUAAAUGCUGUUUUAUUUUACAGCUGUUAUGCAAAAAUCUUAUAAAAUAUUAAAUGUAAUAUACAUUAUUAUUUAUUAUA